rnacentral:rRNA from 1 species
AUUGAACGCUGGCGGCAUGCUUUACACAUGCAAGUCGAACGGCAGCACGGGAGCGAUCCUGGUGGCGAGUGGCGAACGGGUGAGUAAUGUAUCGGAACAUGCCCAGUAGUGGGGGAUAACGCAGCGAAAGUUGUGCUAAUACCGCAUACGAUCUAUGGGGAAAGCGGGGGAUCGCAAGACCUCGCGCGAUUAGAGCGGCUGAUGCCUGAUUAGCUUGUUGGUGGGGUAAAAGCCCACCAAGGCGACGAUCAGUAGCUGGUCUGAGAGGACGAGCAGCCACACUGGGACUGAGACACGGCCCAGACUCCUACGGGAGGCAGCAGUGGGGAAUUUUGGACAAUGGGGGCAACCCUGAUCCAGCAAUGCCGCGUGAGUGAAGAAGGCCUUCGGGUUGUAAAGCUCUUUUGUCAGGGAAGAAACACCGGCUCUAACACAGUCCGGGAAUGACGGUACCUGAAGAAUAAGCACCGGCUAACUACGUGCCAGCCGCCGCCGUAA